GUUCGGAAACGGACGCUAAUACCGCAUACGUCCUACGGGAGAAAGCAGGGGACCUUCGGGCCUUGCGCUAUCAGAUGAGCCUAGGUCGGAUUAGCUAGUUGGUGGGGUAAUGGCUCACCAAGGCGACGAUCCGUAACUGGUCUGAGAGGAUGAUCAGUCACACUGGAACUGAGACACGGUCCAGACUCCUACGGGAGGCAGCAGUGGGGAAUAUUGGACAAUGGGCGAAAGCCUGAUCCAGCCAUGCCGCGUGUGUGAAGAAGGUCUUCGGAUUGUAAAGCACUUUAAGUUGGGAGGAAGGGUUGUAGAUUAAUACUCUGCAAUUUUGACGUUACCGACAGAAUAAGCACCGGCUAACUCUGUGCCAGCAGCCGCGGUAAUACAGAGGGUGCAAGCGUUAAUCGGAAUUACUGGGCGUAAAGCGCGCGUAGGUGGUUUGUUAAGUUGGAUGUGAAAUCCCCGGGCUCAACCUGGGAACUG
rnacentral:rRNA from 1 species